GCCCUCGUAUCCCAAUUGGCAGAGGAAACGGAUUCAAAACCCGUCCAGUGUGAGUUCGAGUCUCACCGAGGGCA
rfam:Mycobacterium tusciae strain DSM 44153 NODE_22_length_98925_cov_61.7977, whole genome shotgun sequence.